rnacentral:rRNA from 1 species
GCAAGUCGAACGGUAACAGGAAAUAGCUUGCUUUUGCUGACGACCGGCGCACGGGUGCGUAACGCGUAUGCAACCUACCUCAUACUGGAGGAUAGCCCUUGGAAACGAGGAUUAAUACUCCAUGGUAUCAUGAAUUCGCAUGUUUUUAUGAUUAAAGUUUUACGGUAUGAGAUGGGCAUGCGUCCCAUUAGCUAGUUGGUGAGGUAACGGCUCACCAAGGCGACGAUGGGUAGGGGCCCUGAGAGGGGGAUC